rnacentral:rRNA from 1 species
AUACGGAAGGUCCAGGCGUUAUCCGGAUUUAUUGGGUUUAAAGGGAGCGUAGGCCGUCUGUUAAGCGUGUUGUGAAAUGUAGAUGCUCAACAUCUGAAUUGCAGCGCGAACUGGCAGACUUGAGUGUGCGCAACGUAGGCGGAAUUCGUGGUGUAGCGGUGAAAUGCAUAGAUAUCACGCAGAACCCCGAUCGCGAAGGCAGCCUGCCAGGCCGUGACUGACACUGAUGCACGAAAGCGUGGGUAUC